GGCUGGUCCAAGUGCAGGGGUGUUUACAACUAAUUGGUCACAACCAGUUACAGAUUCCUUUGUUCCUUCUCCACUCCCAGUGCUUCAGUUGACUAGCCUUAA
rnacentral:Y_RNA from 1 species